GGGAAGCAUUGCCUCUGAUGGACAGUUUCCAUUUUUUGCUUUUGUUAAAAAAGACACCUCAUUUAUGUGCGGAGGAUCGUUGAUUUUGGCUGACUGGGUUUUGACAGCUGCUUUUUGCAUUGGGACACAACAUACCAUAGUUUUGGGCUCGAACUUAAUUAAUUACGUACCUCCGGGACGUGGAUACGUGGUGACAGCCUCAGCCGCAUACACACACCAGCUUUAUAAUCCAACAACUCACGCAAAUGAUAUCGCUCUUCUCAAGCUUCCCACGCCAAUUAAGUUUACUGGACUUGUUAUUCCCAUUAAACUACCCUCCAUGACAGAUGCCUCCAAGGAUUUGACUGGCACUUUGGCAACAAUCACCGGCUUUGGUCUUAUACCUCGUUGAAUUUAAUCCUCUAAAUAAAUACUUUAGAAUUAAUUGAAUAUUUACUUCUACAUAGAGAUGCC